UAACUACUCCCCCGUCCAGAAAUGCUUGUGGGAGAAAUGGAUAAAAUGGAUGUAUCUAAAACUAAAAUACGUCUAGAUACAUUCAUUCCUCCAAUAAGUAUUUUCGGACGGAGGCAGUACUUA
rfam:Triticum aestivum genome assembly, contig: Triticum_aestivum_CS42_TGACv1_scaffold_221255_3B